CUUGACAAUGAGGGGUCAGACAUCUCGGCUUUCCUUUUAGAGUGGCUAAUGCCCCGAUGCGGUUGGCAGGAGAUUUCAAAGAGGCCUUUGGCUUCCUUAUUGCACAGCUCGUAUCCAAUAAGUCUUUGUUGAAGUGGGGAUUCGACGGAUGGCUGGAGUACGAAGCAGUAGCUGAUAACCGAUCCCCCAGUCACGAGCUGGAAGGGGAGCUGUUUGAGACUGACAUGGGCAAGGCAGGCCUCCUCAGCAUGAAUGCUGGCGCUCCGCUGAGUCUGAGAGGCUAUUUGACAGGGGGAAAUAAAGGAAAUCACUUCUGAGCUGAGACCAAGCAAGGAAUGUUUCAGCCGUGAAGGAAUUAGUCUGAGAAAGUUCCAAGCAGCUGAAAAAGUGGAAUGGAAGAGAAACGGCAUUUUCAUCCUAGCUAUGUUAUCAGCAGCAUUUGCUCUAAUCGCUGAUAACAACAAGAAUCUCUGUAACCUCCUCCCUGCCUUCUGAUGUCUGGUUUGGUGAUGUGAUCAAAGGCUGGGAAGGAAGCGUGUUUGGUAUGAAAG
ensembl:lncRNA